GAUGAAGAACGUAGCGAAAUGCGAUAAGUAGUGUGAAUUGCAGAAUUCAGUGAAUCAUCGAAUCUUUGAACGCACAUUGCGCCCCUCGGUAUUCCGUGGGGCACGCCUGUUCGAGCGUCAUUUACACCCUCAAGCGCAGCUUGGUGUUGGGCGUCUGUCCCGCUCUCCGUAGCGCGGACUCGCCUCAAAGUCAUUGGCGGCGGUCGUGCCGGCUCCUCGCGCAGCACAUUUGCGCUUCUCGGAGGCCCGGCGGAUCGGCAUCCAGCAAGCUACUUUUUAUGACUUGACCUCGGAUCAGGUGAGGAUACCCGCUGAACUUAAGCAUAUCAAUAACGGAGGA
rnacentral:misc_RNA from 1 species